rnacentral:rRNA from 1 species
AGUGAACGCUGGCGGUAGGCCUAACACAUGCAAGUCGAACGGCAGCACAGUAAGAGCUUGCUCUUACGGGUGGCGAGUGGCGGACGGGUGAGGAAUACAUCGGAAUCUACUUUUUCGUGGGGGAUAACGUAGGGAAACUUACGCUAAUACCGCAUACGACCUACGGGUGAAAGCAGGGGAUCUUCGGACCUUGCGCGAUUGAAUGAGCCGAUGUCGGAUUAGCUAGUUGGCGGGGUAAAGGCCCACCAAGGCGACGAUCCGUAGCUGGUCUGAGAGGAUGAUCAGCCACACUGGAACUGAGACACGGUCCAGACUCCUACGGGAGGCAGCAGUGGGGAAUAUUGGACAAUGGGCGCAAGCCUGAUCCAGCCAUACCGCGUGGGUGAAGAAGGCCUUCGGGUUGUAAAGCCCUUUUGUUGGGAAAGAAAAGCAGCAGGUUAAUACCUCGCUGUUCUGACGGUACCCAAAGAAUAAGCACCGGCUAACUUCGU